GCUGGAUGUGGUGGCAUGUGCCUGUAGUCCCAGCUACUCGGGAGGCUCAGGCUGGAGAAUCCCUUGAGUUCAGUUCUGGGCUGUAGUGUGUUAUACCAAUCGGGUGUCCUUGCUAAGUUCAGUAUCAAUAUGGUGACCUCUUGGGAGCAGGGAACCACCAGGAUACCUAAGGAGGGGUGAACCGGCCUAGGUCAGAAAUGCAGCAGGAUAAAAUUUCCGUGCUGAUCAGUAGUGGGAUUGCACCUGUGAAUAGCUACUGCACUCCAGCCUGGGCAACAUGGUGAGACCCUGCCUCU
rnacentral:SRP_RNA from 1 species